AUUGAACGCUGGCGGCAGGCCUAACACAUGCAAGUCGAACGGUAACAGGAAGAAGCUUGCUUCUUUGCUGACGAGUGGCGGACGGGUGAGUAAUGUCUGGGAAACUGCCUGAUGGAGGGGGAUAACUACUGGAAACGGUAGCUAAUACCGCAUAACGUCGCAAGACCAAAGAGGGGGACCUUCGGGCCUCUUGCCAUCGGAUGUGCCCAGAUGGGAUUAGCUAGUAGGUGGGGUAACGGCUCACCUAGGCGACGAUCCCUAGCUGGUCUGAGAGGAUGACCAGCCACACUGGAACUGAGACACGGUCCAGACUCCUACGGGAGGCAGCAGUGGGGAAUAUUGCACAAUGGGCGCAAGCCUGAUGCAGCCAUGCCGCGUGUAUGAAGAAGGCCUACGGGU
rnacentral:rRNA from 1 species